rnacentral:ncRNA from 1 species
AAAAAGUUUUAUUUUAGCUUAGGAAUUAGGUUUUAUUUUUAUUUAUAUAUAUAUAUAUUUUGAGAAUAAUUUGUAGUAAUUAAAUUUAAUUAUUUAAGAAAUUAAGAAUUAGAAAUUAUAAUUAAUUUAAACAAAAUUUGUGCCAGCAGUUGCGGUUAUACAAAUUAUAUAAUUUAAUUAUUUUGGUUGUAAUAAAUUUAUUUUUAAUUUAUGUUUAAGAAUUUAUUAAGUGAAAUUUUAAAUUUUUAAAAUAAGUUUUUUAAUAUAAUUAUUUAAGAAAUUUUAAUUAUAGACUAGGAUUAGAUACCCUAUUAUUUAAAAAUGUAGUUUUUGUACUAAAUUAUUAAUAGUUAUGUUCUUUAAAAUUAAAAAAUUUGGCGGUAUUUUAGUCUUUUCAGAGGAACCUGUUUUAUAAAUGAUAGUCCACGAUUUUAUUUACUUUUAUUAUUAAUUUAUAUAUCAUCGUUAUUAAAUAUUUUUUUAGAAUAUAAUAUUUAAGAUUUUUAAUUAAAAAUUAAAUCAGAUCAAGGUGUAGUUUAUAUAGAAGUAAAAAUGGGUUACAUUAAAUUUAUUUUAAGAUAAAUAUUUUUAAAAUAUUUUGAAUUUGGAUUUGAAAGUAAUUUUUAUAAAUUAAUAAAAAUGAUUUAGCUCUAAAAUAUGUACAUAUUGCCCGUCGCUUUCAUUUAAAAUGAAAUAAGUCGUAACAAAGUAGAUUUACUGGAAAGUGUAUCUAGAUUCAA